CAAACGUAGAGCCCCUUUCCACUGAUCUGAUCGGUAUCCAGAUCAGUGUUGCUUAAUAACACCACGCUCUGUGGGGCGAUUAAAGGAAACCUUCAGGAUUGAUUUGGCUGAAACGGAAGUGAAAGUGUUCAGGAUGAACCGAGAGAAAGCAGUGAGGGGAAGUGAGAGAGGGGUCAGUCGGAGUCAGAGCAGCGUCGAGGUCGGACAGCGAGAGACAAGAUGAAGAUUCUUCUCCUGAUCACCAUCACGUUCACUCUCCUUGAUCUUGGCGAAAAUCAACCUUGUCAGAGUUACAACAAUAACAACAAUAACAACAAUGCGGGCAGAUUUGUUCAGAGACACAUUGUUAAGAAGACCUUUGACAGAACAUCGAAGACUGAAUGGGAGAAGUGAGUGAACAAUUUAAGUAACUGAGUUCAUUGGGCACUUAUUAGAGCAAGAUAAUUAAAGCAAUUCAUACUUAAACAGCAUUUUGAAAAUUCUGUCGACGAAAUGACCAACAAUUCACAUUGAUAUAAACAUUGAAACAUUUACAUAUUUCAAAAUAAUUAAACUAGAUUAUGAAUGUUAUUUACUUUGCAGUGAAACAUUGAUCUCUUUACACAGGUACUUAACAGCCAGUCAUAUCUGCGCCACACCUACGCAGUCCUUCCUCGAGGAUCAGACAAGUGUCGAGAAGAUCUGUAAUGGCAAAGGCCACCCGAUAAGUAACAAUGGUAACUUAUGCAUCAGUGAUUCACGCAUGCAGGUAUAUGAUCUCAUAAUCAAUAACAAUUGCAAAGUAACAAGUAUUUCUGAUGCCAUGAAACCUGUUAUUGUGGCUUGUAAUAUUGUUGGAAACCGCUGCCGUCCUGUCCAUUUUGAGAGAUACAUCAACCAAAGGCCAAUCCCUAGAAGUCGCCCCUGCCGGCCUUAGACACUUCUUAGAAAAGGCCAAGUUCUGAAAGUGUUUGACAUUGGAUCCCAGUUGUCCGGCCUAUUAUUGACCUGACACCUAAAACCUCUGUCAACCUUAUCGUUAAACUAAGCCUUUUUUGCUCACAUGAAAGCAUUGGAAUUUGUUAUGCAUCAUAUUCUGUGUUUGAUUGAGCUUGUCGAUCAUAACAUUUCUUGAGUUGAGCAUGAUUAAAAGAACAUGUGCCAGUUUUGUUUCCAGCUAAUCUUAAGGUUAAUAGGUUGCUUGCUUUAAUAACACUUAUGGGUACCCUUUUCCAUGAUGAGUUCUGUUCAUACUAUUAUUACUCUGUAUAAUCCCAUUAUUGUCAAACUAAUUCUUGCCACAUUUAUAUCCAUAUACUGCUCUGUGAAAAAAAAUUCAAAACUGUUUUAAAAUCCUUUUUUCAUUGGUUAUAUUCUCCAGGGUAAAACAUGAAUGCAAAUAAAUAUAUAAAAGGUGUUUGACUUAGUAUUUUGUAUGCAACUUUAUGCCAUAAUGAAACCUGUUCUGUCUACCUUGAGCUGCAGACGCUUUCUCCUCCUCUUUGCUUUGAAUUCUCUUGGAACUUUCCAGACCUUAUCAUCAUUGUUGUGGAAUUUGUCCGUUGGAGUUCAGAAAUAAAAGUAUUCAACACAAAUGUUGCUAAGGUUUGUUCUUCUUUAUUCAAGCUAAGAAAGUUCAGCAGAGUUAAGGAUUUCAGCUGAAAGGCCGGUUCAGCUUCAUGCAUAGAAGGGAGUGGAGCGAACCUGCAGUACAAAAACAAUUAACACUUAUAGAGUGUGUUUGUGUGGGAAGGGAGUGGGUGGUGAAGUCUCAUGCAGUUAGAGGCUUAUCACCCACUAGCUGCAACAGUUCCCUACUGAGAGUGAUUCCAAAAACACACUCUAUGCACAAUCAUUUAAAAAAAAUAAUAAUAAUAAUUUUAAUAAUAACAUUAUUUAUAUAGCACCUUUUUAAAACAAGAGUUUACAAAGUGCUUUGACAGACAAAGCAGCAAAAGCAAGGCAAUAAAACAAAAGAAAGCUCAACAAUGGAAGACAAACUAAGGUAAGACUUAAACCCUGAUAAAACAAUAAAAACAAUCGAUAGGUUAAAAAUAAACUAAUAAAUAAACUAAAUAAAUUAAACAACAAUUUAAUUAAUACAAUUAAUAAAAAAGAUAAAAUAAUAUUGGAAAAUGAAAUAAGUAAAACCAAUAAUAAAACGAAACAUUAAAGCAACAACAUCACAUAAAAGCCAGUCUGUAAAAAGUCUGUUAAAACCAGUUAAAAGUCUUGGUUGACGCCAGAGAGGAGGAAAUUACAGUAGUCCAGUGUUGAAAAAAUAAAUGCAUGAAUUAUUAUUUUUUUCAUUUGUUUUUGUAGAUGGUUCUGAUUUGAAGGAAAUAGGACUGGACUUCUUUUAUGAUGUCGGGUUUAAACUGAAAUCUGAAUCAAAUAGAACUCCUAAGUUUCUUGCAGUGGACUUCAUAUUUACAGACAGGGGAACCAAGGGCACUUACAAUAGGAGUGAUGGGGUUUGGGGGACUUAAUAAUAUAAAAUCUGAUUUGAAAUGAUUGAGUUGAAGAAAAUGUUGUGCCAUCCAACAGUUGAUAUCUUUAAGACAGUCUAAAAUAGCAGCUAGGCUUCUUGGGUCGUCGGGUCUCAUUGGAAGGUAUAUCUGUGUGUCGUCUGCGUAGCAAUGAAAAGAGAUAUUGUGAAGUUGGAUGAUUUGACCUAGUUGGAGCAUGUAUAUGGAAAAUAACAUUGGACCUAAAAUAGAACCUUGCGGUACACCACAGGUAAUGUUAGAAUUAGAGGACCGAGUGUGUUCUGUCUGAGAGGAAAAAUAAAACCAACUAAGUGCAGAGUCCUUGAUGCCAACCCAGUUUUUAAGACGGUUGAUUAAAAUGGCAUGGUAAUUUGUUGCCUAUUGUCCUUUUGCUCUAUUUGUAAAACAGUUUAAAAACUGCUCGCAAACCUCUUGUGAGGCAUCAGUAAAACGAAAGGGGGCAGGGUGACCAUUUAGAUCACCCCCCUUUUAAUUUUGCUAAAAUUAAAUUUGAGAAGAAAGCAGUCCUUGUUUCUAUAACUGCCUUCUGAUAGAUUUUCAUUGCAUCUUUCCAAAUCUCAUGAAAUACAUGUAAGCCGUUUUUUUUCCAUUUUGGUUCCUUUCUCCUACAGUCUCUCUUUAAACCUUGGGUGGAUUCGUUUAGCCAGGUCUGGGGUGUUGUAUUUGACCUUUUGUUUUUCAGGGGGGCAACAGAGUCCAGGACAUUCUGACAGGUGUGAUUAAUAUUUGAAGUAGAAGUAUAAAGUAGCAUAAAAUAGAAAUACUCAAAUAGAGUACAAGUAUUUCUAAUUUUGACCUAGAUGCAAUACUUGAGUAAAUGUACUUUAGUUAUAUUCCACUUUGUAGCCAAACCUUGCCUAAUCAUGAUGUCAACAAGGUGUAAACAGCUCAAUCAAAGACUGAUAUUCACUUAUGUUUAAUGAUUUCUUGUUUCUAGGCCCACCCACAGUGAGUUGGAGCUUAUUUGUUUUUCUUGUUUCUAGGCCCACCCACAGUGAGUUGGAGCUUAUUUGUUUUUCUUGUUUCUAGGCCCACCCACAGUGAGUUGCUUUAAUUGAAAAUGACAAAAAAUGUGAAAUCCAUACUUGUUAACCAAUACAACACCAAAUCUCUUAAAAUGUUUUAGAAGGAUACCUGGAAUUGAUGACUUUACUUUCAAAUGUAAAAAUGUUUUCCUUCUUGGUUAUAAAUAGAUUCUUUUCUAGCUGUGCUUUGUUUUCAUAUUGUCAAGGAAAUGUCUUAAAGCUGCAUUUAUUACUAUGUUUGAUAACAUUGAAUCAUGGUAUUGUGCUAUAAAAACUAUUACACCGCUUUUUCUGUCUCUUUCAGUUCAUUGUUUUGGUUUAUUGCAUAUUUUUGUAUAAGAGAGAAAAAUAGAAACAAACGUUUGAAGCGACAAGUUUGAAGCGACAAAACAUAGCUUAAAUAGGACAUUGGAACUUCAAACCUUACGGUUUUUUAAGUAUCAUAUCAACACUAAAAGGGGCUUAGUUUGGGUUCUUUAGUGUUCAACAAUUCAAAAAAGAGAAGACAAAGAACAUACAGUAUGUUAGAUGCCAGAUGUAUCUGUAUGUAUCUGUAUGUAUGUAUGUUAGAUGCCAGACCAAAGCUUGUUAUUGACAAGUUUUUCUAAUUCUAUGAAAAAAGUUUGAAGUUUGUGUAAACAUUUCAUUUUCGAAAAAGGACUGCUUUAGUUCAGUGUAUGUAUUAGCUAUUGAAAUUACGUUUGAUAUUUUGGGAUUUUUUUUUUUUUAUUGAGGCAGAUUAUGUUCCGCAGAGCCAGGCUAGCUGUUUUCAGUUUUCAUGAGAGCAGGUAAGCAACACAUUCCUUAGUUGGCAUUACUGCACAAAACAGCAACACAAACUGUAAAGUGGCAAUGUGCAUCUUCAAAGUUUUUUCAAGAUCUCCAUUCUCUAAGCUUUGACUGAUAUGGUCCCUCUGGUGGUGAAGAGUAGUAAAAUGUUCAUUUGUUUACCUCUCCUCUGACAUUAGUCUUAUUUGGUAGAACACUAGUAAAGUUAAAAAGAGAGAGAGAGUAAAGUAAUAGAAACCUGCAACAAGUGCUUGAAGAUACCUGAGGAAACAACUGGGUGGUUGUCACAAUUCAUUUUUUUAAUGGCAACUGCAAAUCACAAAUCAUCAGUCUUAAGCACUUUAUUUAUUUUAGCAAAGUUUGAAGCAGAUUUAUUCAAUAAUAGUUUGAGCCUCUGAUCAAAUGCUUUAUUUGAUGUGUAACUAAAGUUAAUAAGAUACAUUCUUUAACCAAAAGCUUUGAUUUUGAUUUCUGAAAUGUAUUGACAUGCCGUUACUGACACACAACUGUUUUCUGAUUCUUUCUGCAAUUUAAACUCAGAAAAAAAUAAAAAAGUCCCAGUUUUCAAAAGCCCAAUUGGAAUAUAAAUUGACGUUUUAUCCCGCAGUAGCAUCUGGUUUAGAUUAUUAGAUUGAAUUCAAAUGAAAAUACUCAAUUUAUUUCAGACCUGUCAAAAGUACAGUGUGCAGCAUUUAAGGGGAUCUAUUGGUAGAAAUGUAAUAUGAUAUCAAAAAGUAUCUGUUCUUUAAUGAAAAUAAGAAUUGUGUUUUCAUUACUUUAGAAUGAGCAGUCAAUGUCUA